rnacentral:tRNA from 1 species
GGCUCAGUGGUCCAAUGGUUAAGCGCUCGUUGCGGAGCUAGAGGGUCCUGGGUUCGACCCCCAACAGGGUUG